ACUGCCUACACAAACUGGCUCACCCAAUCACAGAUCUAGCAGCAGCUUUGUUUGAUGUGCAAUUGACAGCAGGAGUGGAUUGAUAAGAUGGCAGUGCGCAUGUCUAUGUUGGCUAAUUGACUUGCAAGGUUUACGCUAAACGGGGUCUAAACAGGGCCUCAAAACCAGUGGAGUCUGUAGCAGCAGCUCAGCGGAACAACGCUAAACUAUCUACGAUCGGCAGUUCGUGUUACUUCGUGGAUUCAUACGUUUUGGGUCAGUAAACACCGAAGUCAUGUAACUGCUACGUCGCUAAGUUUUGCUGAUGCUUGCUGCAGGACAGUCAAAUGUUCAUCGUUUUACACCAGACUGCACUGCUUCCAGAGGUGCUGCAACAGGGCCGGCAAGCCAGACAAUUGUCUAGGGUCCCGGAGAACAGGUGACGUUGGCCGAAAUCAAUGACAAAGCACUGCUUAACCGUGCAACAAAAAUGAGUUGUUGAGAACUCCCACACAUAGUCAGUCCCUUACUAGCUGUUGCUGGCUGGAGGGCCCAGCCACAGAGAGACGGCUGUUAUUAGUCCAUUUCAACUACACAACUGUGAGCAGACACUGCAAUGACAUGUUCAGGGUCAAAGAGCUCUCUAAUGGGGGCCCCUAGUAACAGGCUUUUUGGAAAUACACCUUAAAGUCCCAUUAAGCAUUAGAAAAGUUACCUUACACAAAAUGUUAAAAUGAAGCAUUGAAGCUGUUUGUGUGCCCGCAAUGAGUGUGCCUGAGAGCAGUCGUAAGUCACACCUUCUGUCUCUGAUUUGUUGUUUUUCCUCAGGUGCAGUGCUUUCUUGUACAUCAAAUUAGAGGCACAAGAUCGGGCCAGAGAAGGGAGAUUUUUUUUCACAGAUCAUAUUUAUCAUGUACUAUACUACUUACUGUCAAGUCUUACUGACUGUUUACACAAAUAUGACAAGGUGUCUUUCUUUUCAAACUGCAAACUCCCCUUUAAGUACAAUGCUAAUGUUCAAAUUUUACAAUUACAGCUACCAUGUUUUUGUUGAAGACGUAGGCCUGAUACUCAACUAUAUUUUAAUGUUGGUCAUUAUGGUGGUACUUGGAAAGCUAAGAAUCUUUUGGGGUGGUACCGUAUUUGGUUUUAAAAGUUUGAGAAGCACUGGCCAGGUCAUGUUGAUGAUGUUACAUAUUCGAAAAGAAAGCAUACAUUGGUAUGAUAUUAAAUUCCAUGUUAUUGGUCUUAUUUGUGUUUGAGCCGGAGGCCUAACAUGUUUCCAGGUUUCCAAGCUAGUAACCUUGUAGCCUUUUAUUUUGAAGGGUACGCACUGGAACUCAGCAUUUUGGCACAAAAGUUAACUUCACAUGGCACUGGUGAUUUAUUUAUUUUUUUAAUGGAUGGAACCACGUUGAUUCCUUUCCCUACCCACCGAUGAGGCACAAGGACAAGAAAGUGGAAACGUCAGCUGUGUCACAGACAGCAGAUGUAUGUGGACUGCUCCAUUCCAGCGAGAACUACAGGAAGUUGUUCACCUCUGGAACACUCACAGAAUUCGCCCAUGCAGAAAUGCUGCAUCUCCAGGUGGGCGCCCAGUGAUGAUGUACACCCUACCCGAACUUUUUGGAGCCAGAGAGUACUUGAAAGAGGUAUCUCGAGAAAAGAUAGAGAUCUGCAGAGGAGAAUGCCUUCAUAGAGGACCGUACUCCUGUGAUGAUACAGUGUUUGACAUUUGUUGUCUCCCCAUGGCAGAAAACAGUCUUCAUCCACCCACCUCUCCAGAGGAAGCCAUCGAGCUUUACAUGUUCUUACGUGCUUACAUACGAGCGCAGAUUUCAUGAACACAACCUGCUUGCUCUACAGGAUCAAAUGACAGGAUCAUGUAACCCUCCAAAAAUGGUAGACCUUACGCACCAUGAAUUUAACUGUAAAGGGUAUUAAAACAGUAAAUUACUGUGAAUUUGCUCCAAAUGGACAUCUCCACAUUGUGCCUCGUAUAUCUUCUUUCUAUUCCAGAAAAGCAAACGUCCAAUGUAUGCAUGAAAAAACA